rnacentral:rRNA from 1 species
CGGGGUGAGUAAUGUCUGGGAAACUGCCUGAUGAGGGGGAUAACUACUGGAAACGGUAGCUAAUACCGCAUAACGUCUUCGGACCAAAGUGGGGGACCUUCGGGCCUCACGCCAUCGGAUGUGCCCAGAUGGGAUUAGCUAGUAGGUGGGGUAAUGGCUCACCUAGGCGACGAUCCCUAGCUGGUCUGAGAGGAUGACCAGCCACACUGGAACUGAGACACGGUCCAG